UACGUAGGGGGCAAGCGUUGUCCGGAUUUAUUGGGCGUAAAGAGCGUGUAGGCGGCCAUACAGGUCAGCUGUGAAAACUCGAGGCUCAACCUCGAGACGUCGGUUGAAACCGUAUGGCUAGAGUCCGGAAGAGGAGAGUGGAAUUCCCGGUGUAGCGGUGAAAUGCGCAGAUAUCAGGAGGAACACCGAUGGCGAAGGCAGGUCUCUGGGCAUUAACUGACGCUGAGGAGCGAAAGCAUGGGGAGCGAACAGG
rnacentral:rRNA from 1 species